rnacentral:ncRNA from 1 species
UCUUAUCAAGAGAGGUGGAGGGAUAGGGCCCGAUGAAACCCGGCAACCAGUUAGUAAUAACAUGGUGCCAAUUCCUGCAAAAUAUCUAUAUAUUUUGCGAGAUAAGA